rnacentral:lncRNA from 1 species
GGUUGGAGAAGAUAGCCUCUGGAUAGUGAACUUGAAAGAGUGAGAAAUCCCCUGUGAAAAUGGUCUAAGAAAUAGCUUUCCUAUCUGCAUAAGGAUGGAAAACUGUGUUUUGUUCCUUCCUGUAUUAAGGGCCAAUUUUGUGCUAGACCCUGUCCAAGGCCCUUAAGAUCUAGAAAAAUAUAAGAUAUCCUCCAUUCCUUCAAGGUGCUCAUGACAUCUGUUUGGUCAUGUGUGUUUAAAUUCAUUUUGCAUAGGUAGCAAAAGAUUUGCAGAUGUUCAGCCACACUCCAUCUGCCAGAGCUAAGUCACCUACGUAAAGCCCUCCUGGGGACAUUAAGAUCCUGUCAGGUCUAUGUCAUCCUGAAUUAUUACCAUGCUGGGUGUGGCAGCAACCUUUGGCCAAACACCUCACCUCUGGGGUGGUGAUAGCCAAAUGUGACACACACCCACACAUAUUUAACUUCUCAAUUAAAUUGGAGUUGGAGAGUGGGGUCUUCUGAUGAACAGAAAUCUAAACGUUUAAUGAAUUUUAAUUUAUCAAUCUUCCUUUAAUGUGGAAUACGUUUCAUUUUUUGGUCUAGUUUUAGAAAGUCUCCCCCUCCUUUAUGGUCAGAAAGUUUGACAGGUUCUCUUUCGACAUUUAAAUCUGAAAUAUAACUAGAAUUGACUUCUAUAUAUUGUGUCAAGUAGGGAUCUAAUGUCUUUUCUCCAUAUGGGUGUUUUUUUAAAGCAGAGGACAUUUCCAAGAUGAUAGGAAAUGAGAAUGUGUUGAGAGAAAGAAAAAACAAACAGAACUGGGUUAGAGAUUACAGGAGGUUAAGAAGAAAAGAUCAGUGCCCAGAAUUUAUUAAGAUGAAGCUCUUCAGGGCAAGGGAUCUCAUUCUCUUCUAUUGGAGAAAGGCCUUGUCCACACUCUGGGAACUAUGGUCCCUGGCAGCCCCAGGUGGAUCCUGGCAGCCUCUCAACCUGUACAGCUCAGCACCUACUGUUUCGUACCCACAACAUACAUUUGGACGUGUAAGGAUUUCAGUGGUUCCUGCAAGGGCAAACUUCUCUGGAGGAACCCGAGACUUCUGUAUGGACCAGCUUCGCACUCCACAGGGCAGUCUGCCAGCACAGCAUUUGAAACGGGGCACACAGACUCCAUGUACACUGCCCUAUGCUUUCCAGAAGGCUGGGGGCCCCAUGCAUCGCCCCGGGCUGAGAAGGAGCUGGAGGCUGAGAAAGUCACCUGCCUCCCCAGUGCCCGAGACCGCAGCCGCUAUGCUCCUGCCGGACUUCACAGCCGCCUCAAGUGCUGAGAGAUCCAGCGGCAGGGCCCCACUUCCCUGCCCUGUGAAUGAAAAUAGCCAUUCUCAACAUCAAUGUUGCUGCUUCUCCUUGCUCUGAUUAGGAUUUAUUUCCCUAGCUAGAGAAAAAGAAAGGCACUUUAGAAGUCCUAAUUAGAAUGACUCCUCUCUAUUUAAUUUAUUCAGGAUAUCCUGCUGAGCUGCACCGGUGUGUCCCAAUGUAUUAUUAUUAUUAUUGUUUUAAAGAAGCCAUUUCUGACCAGAGGCUGGAGGAGACGCCCUUCGUCUGUCUCUCGGCCCUGUGGUCCUGGCCCUCGCCAAGGGAACUGUUCUUGCUCUGCUGUGUUUAUUUGCAUUAUGUAAUAUAAACAGCUCCAGGGAGAUGGGCUUCUCCACUUUGUUUUUAGACUCAGACUUCGCUCGCCCUCAGCAGAGCUUGUCACUUGAGUGGUUUCCUCUAGCUUUCUGUUUUGCUGCUGGAGAACAAAACAGCCUGCCCUUGACCCUUCUGCAGGACCAGCCCUUUCCUCCCGCCAUGACCCAGCAAUGAAAGUGAGACACUGCUGAUGCUGACAGUGUCCCCAGAGGCUCAGCAUGGGCCGGGGCGGAGGGGGCGUCCAAACUGAGCAGAGACGAAUCAGUGGUGGGUAUUGACUUUCUCUGUAGCUUCUUUACUGAUACAUGGUUCCUCCAAGUCAGGAAUAUCCCUAGAAUAUUUAAAACAUAAUUUCACUUAGCAUAUGGAUUCACACCCGACUUUUCAGGAACACAUCUGAUGUGUAAAACACAUGUGACUAUAGUUAGAAGGAAAGUUCAAAAAGUAUUGUAGACAUCAGCUCUACAUUAUUUUACUGUUCACAUCCACUUAAAUCAAAUAUUUUCAAAGCAUUUCAUUGCUAAUGAGACCAAGCUCAAGGUUUAUCCCCUAAUGACUCCACGCAAUGGAGAAACCCUGCACAUCUUCUUACUGAGUCUGGCUUGCCACAAUGGCCUUCAAGGCACAGUUGGAUUAUAAUCAUUUUUAGUAACAGUUUUCUUAAAACAACUCUCCAAGGGUUGAGUCACUUAUUCCUUUAUCUAUAUACUUGUCUUAAUGCAGAUAACACAUAUUUUCAGAACGGUGAUUAACUCAAAUUUCUUGUGGCAAGAUUCCAUCUCCAUCUAUAAAAUUUCAUUUUGAAAUAUUCCAUCUGUCUCUCUCACCACCCCUAACACUCAUGCUUGCCAUCUACAGGGGUCACCAACUGCAGGGGGGAGAAGGAUGUUCUUUUCAUCUCUUCAGAUCUGUGAGUUUGGGGAGGCAGGACUAGAAAGGUGGAAGGCAUAGAGGUUCGGAGAAUCAAGUCCCUAGAGCGUGGGGGUGGGGAGGAGACAGCCAGAGAGCAGUAAUGACCUUGAACAGAGCAAGAGGCGAGACUGCCAGCCACAUUUCUCUUCCCACUGGAUUCCCAGAAAACUACAGGAGAGAAGGAAGGAAAGGAAGGAAGAGAGAGAGAGAGAGAGGGAAAGAAAGGAAGGAGGGAAGGAAGAAAGAAAAAGAAAGAAAGACUAUAGCAAUGAGAGGGGGGAAAUAGAAUUGGAGAUUUUUGUUAUUAAGAAGUAUUUUAAAGUCUACCAGUUGAAGCCCAGCCAGGGCCUCUGACAAAGCCACACAGCAUCCUCUUGUCUCCUCAAGCCUGUCAGAAUUUCUCUGCAUUUUUCCAGCAGCAGCAGCAGUAGCAGCAGCAGCUGCAGCUUCCAACCCUUCAUAUCCUCUAAUUUGCCAAGUCCUAACUCUACCCUCCCAUCUCCCUCCUCAUUUCUCUGCUUCAAGGUCAAAUCCUAGUGCACCUCAACUUUUCAGUGCUUUCCAGGGAGGCGGGAGCCACAGCGGCAGAGUCCCUCCUUAGGGGCGGGGAGGGGGUCCUUGUGAGCAGCGGGGCUGGAGGAAAUCUGCUGGGGCCUUGACUUUCUCACACAUGUUUCAGAUGUGCAGGAGUGUGAUUGUAAACAGCGUCUUCCUCGCUGCCAGAGCUGGCCUCUCCGCCCGAGUCCUGUUCCCAUCACCCUAGGGGUUCCAGUAAUAGGGCGUAAAGCAAACAAAGAAAAACAGUAAUCUGGUGUUCCAAUUGCAUUUUUUGUUUUUAGAAAAUGUUAAUGAUAGGUUAUUUGAUUACCCUAGGUUUGGCUCUGCUUGCUCUUUAUUAAGUACAUCUGGUAUUUAGUAACAGUAUAAGUAGCAGCAGUUUUUUUGGCACUUGAAAAUAAGCUCAUCCAAUGUUGCCAUGCAGUUUGGAAACUCGUCAGAGAGGCCAGCCAAACUUGUGGAGAUACAAGACUUUUUCUGUAGGCUGGGCAGCUAGCCAGGACAGCUAAAAAAUGUGAAUUGGCUAAGAACUGCUGCCACGCAAACACUUCUGGAAAUUUCUGUGCUUGGGCCUGCCAAAUCCAUUAUGCACAACAUGAAUUACAAGAGUUUCUAUCUCUCCAAGCAGUUGCUUUUUGAGCUUAAUUCGCCUAUGCACUUUAUGAAACGUACACACACAACCAAAAUGAGAAAAACACCCCAAAAAUCCACUAUCUUUUUUUUUUUUGUCUUUCCAUUUGGCUUGCCAAGCUCACAACUUUUCCUGAAUUAGGAGAAAUAGCCUCAAACUUUGGUUUGAAUUACAUUAAAUCUAACACGUGGGAGGCAACUGUGCUUCCUGGAAAUUCUAGAAAGGAAGGAUGUCUCGCAUCAUGGAGACAGCCUAAUAUCUAGGUAGGAAAACAAUAAAAUGCAACAAAAGAACUUGGAAGGGGAAAAA